UGGAAAGGAAGAAGAUGUCGUGGUGUUGGUGUUGUUAAAUUGAAGUAGAAUUUAGGGGUUGAAGUCAGAUUCAAGAUUGUGGUUGUGCUUCAAAUAGGGGUUUGAUAGUUGUAGGAAUUGAAACAAAAAAUUGAGCUUCGGUUACAGCAGUUGAUGCUGAGUUAAAUGUGAGAGAUGAAGAUCGAGGGAGAUCUAAAUUUUUGCCGAGAAACAGAUAAAGAAGUCUACACUGCUUUUGGUUGUCUAGAUCUCUAUUAUUUGAUUAUAUUAUUGUGGUUUAUGCAGAGAAUCGAAAGUUUGUUAGGCCCUGAAGACAACAAGUCAAGAACAUUGAAUUAUGGGUUUGUUUUGAAUUCGUAAGUAAUUGCAAGGAAGGAGAUGAGACAGGGUUAGAAGAGCAUAUCAAUUCAUCUUUGCUGAUAUCAAUUCGUGCACACAACUUGUUUGAGGAAAUUCUUGAGUGCUAGACACUGGUGUGCAAGUAUACACCAGCUAGACAUUCGAUCUAUCAUUACUAUGUGCAAGAAAAAUUAUUACCGGAUGGAAGAUCAACAAAGUAAGAGCAAUGUCAGGACUCCAAUACCUUAGCUACGUACUAGGAUAACAUCAAAUCCCGUAUUUUAGCUAACACUGUACAGAAUGCUAACAUGUCCACCAAGCAGCUGUUGUCCCUAAAGAGAGAAAGGAAUAUGCAAGCUAAUGAAGAUAAGGAAUGGCUCUGGGCCGAACUUCAGGGUUCAGUCAUAAUACAUUAACGUUAUAAAAAACCUACCCUCUUUGUUGCUCGUUGAAAAUUUAGGAACAACAAAGCUAAAUGAAAGAAAUUUCACUAAACAUCCAACGAUAGAGAUACAAAUCCUCUUGCAGAAAAACCCAGUGUGUUAAUUGAAGGGGACUAGAGGAUCAUAUGAAAUUUAGGAUAGUGAAGAGCAUCAGGAACUUUCUGAUCGCAAUGUCAAGAGUUGGAACCGCCACCAACAAGUGAAACACACAAUGGACAUGAAGAACUACUUUCGAAGCAAAGCUGAUAUGGUAAUGUUGAUGGUGGUUUUUAGCUUAGGGUUAAAAUCGUAAAACCUUACAUCUGACAUGACGUCACUAGGACCACUAGCGCAUUUAUUGAAUCAUUCAACACGCCUACGUAAGAAUUA